AACAAGUAUUAAAGGUCCUGCCUGCCCAGUGAACCAUUUUCAACGGCCGCGGUAUCCUAACCGUGCAAAGGUAGCGUAAUCACUUGUCUUUUAAAUAAAGACUCGUAUGAACGGCUAAAUGAGGGUGACCCUGUCUCCUGUCGCUAAUCAGUGAAACUGACCCCCGAGUACAAAAGCUCGGAUAAACCCAUAAGACGAGAAGACCCUGUGGAGCUUAAAAUAAGACUAUUACAAGCAAUAGUAAAUUUUAAGUUGGGGCGACUUCGGAAUAAAAAAGAACUUCCGAGCAUGGAGCCACCCGCUCUGACCAAGACCAACAAGUCAAAACCUGACCCAGUCUCACUGAACAACGAACCAAGUUACCCCAGGGAUAACAGCGCCAUCUUCUUCAAGAGUCCCUAUCGACAAGAAGGUUUACGACCUCGAUGUUGGAUCAGGACACCCAAAUGGUGCAGCAGCUAUUAAAGGUUCGUUUGUUCAACGAUUAACAGUCCUACGUGAUCUGAGUUCAGACCGGAGCAAUCCAGGUCGGUU
rnacentral:rRNA from 1 species